rnacentral:rRNA from 1 species
ACGUAGGAUGCGAGCGUUGUUCGGAUUUAUUGGGCGUAAAGCGUACGUAGGCGGCUGUCUAAGUCUGGUGUUAAAGCUAGGGGCUCAACCCCUGUGAUGCACUGGAAACUGGGCGGCUUGAGAACGGUAGGGGAAGGUGGAAUUCCGAGUGUAGCGGUGAAAUGCGUAGAUAUUCGGAAGAACACCGGUGGCGAAGGCGACCUUCUGGGCCGUUUCUGACGCUGAGGUACGAAAGCGUGGGGAGCAAACAGGA